CGGUAACACUGGGGGUGCGCAUUCGCUGAGAGGCCCUUUGGCCGACCCUUUGUACCUGAUGCGGUUAAUACCGACGUAGGAAAGUGUGCCGGCCGGGCU
rfam:Acidaminococcus intestini RyC-MR95, complete genome.